GUGGAGUCUGCUGAGUCAUGACAUGCCAAGGUUCUUACAGAAAUAUCUUCCUGGUCCUUUGGCUGUGUGAGACCUCCCGAGAGCACGAGGAAGGGAACCAUUGGCUCAAGGGUACAUUGGCCCUGCAUGGACACUGUAGAGAUCCCAGGAAUAUCUUGCACCCCUAUUCUGCAGACUUGCCUGAACUGAACUUGUAUUGUCAACUAAGAAGCAAUCAAUUGGGCUUCAUCCAGUAUGUGAGUAAUGUAGGAAUGGCUGAUCCAUCUUGGAAUCACAGUGUCCAGGUCAAAGUAACAGUGUCCAAAUUUUCUGAUGCUAAAAUGCUAAAUAGCCCAGGUCUUUUAAAGCCAAGGCUGUGGGUGGCAACCAUAAGAACAUUGCGAGGAGUUGUUAUCUGAGAAAACCCAC
rnacentral:lncRNA from 1 species